AGAGCGAACGCUGGCGGCAGGCCUAAUACAUGCAAGUCGAACGCACCUUCGGGUGAGUGGCGGACGGGUGAGUAACACGUGGGAACGUGCCUUUUGGUUCGGAAUAAUCCGGGGAAACCUGGCCUAAUACCGGAUGUGCCCUUCGGGGGAAAGAUUUAUCGCCAUUAGAGCGGCCCGCGUCUGAUUAGCUUGUUGGUGGGGUAAUGGCCCACCAAGGCUACGAUCAGUAGCUGGUCUGAGAGGAUGAUCAGCCACACUGGGACUGAGACACGGCCCAGACUCCUACGGGAGGCAGCAGUAGGGAAUCUUGCGCAAUGGGCGAAAGCCUGACGCAGCCAUGCCGCGUGAAUGAUGAAGGUCUUAGGAUUGUAAAAUUCUUUCAGCGGGAAGAUAAUGACUGUACCCGCAGAAGAAGCUCCGGCUAACUUCGUGCCAGCAGCCGC
rnacentral:rRNA from 1 species